rnacentral:lncRNA from 1 species
GCAGCCUGUACUUGGCCAAGGAGAGUCCUCCAAGCCCAGCAAUGGGGGAGAAGGGCGCUAUAGCGGCCAGCACCCUGCCUUUGUUGCCUGAGCACAUCCAUCACUGCUUCUGAGAUUCCCCAAGAGGAAGCUAGCGGAGGAGUGAGGGCCAGCGGGCUCCUGGACACCAGGACUUCAACUCAGGGCUACCCAGUUCACCCGUGUCUACUGCUGCACAGCUCCGGCCUCCAGAGGGUCGGGACCCGUAUGUGGUAGGACCGUGCCAAGUGCCUGGUGAUCUUACAGGCAGCCGGCUGCCUCUUCCCACUCCUGGGUGCCACCCUCCAGCAGGCACAGGUCCUGAGUUCGUGGGGCACAUACUGAUUUUGCAGCAGAGUGAGGAUCUGAAUUCAGGAUAUCUGGACAUGGUUUCUCACCAGGGCACGUCCUUCCCGCCCAGGAGGAAUGGAACCCAGAGCCUCUUGGAAGCACAGUGGUCCCCUAUGUGAGGAGUCCGAGACCAUAGCAAAAGUGCCACCCUGGGGACUUUGCUAGUAAUCGGAUGUUCAGCCUGAUAUGCUGGUGAACUGGGAGUCCAGCCUGAGCUACAAGCUGUGGAACAAACAUCUUGCAUCACCACAUGCUCUCCACAUAGAGUCACUUCAGGCCCAAACCAAAAAAAGGCCAGUGAUAAUUUCUGAUGCCUCCAAAACUGCGAGCCAAAAGAGUCUUUUCUGGGGCUAACUUUACUAGAUUCUAGGGACUUGUGUUUUUUUCUUUCUUGGGGUCUCAUGUAUCCCGGCGCUGUUUGUGAACUCUCUGCCUUAAGCCCUGCCUCCACCUUCUGGACGCUUUCUCCACUGUGUGCCCUUUUCUUCAGCGCUGAGGCUUAAUCCCAGGUGUGUGCCGAGUCAGCACCCUCUAAGCUGAGCUUCACCCCAGUCCAGUUCUGUUAAUUAUAAGCUAACAUCAGACUCCUUGGACAAAUGCUUGUUCUAUUUUAUUUUUUGUCACGUGAACAGUGGCCCACGAGAUCCACCGCUGUACUUAUU